UCGCCCCGAAAGGGGCGCGCCAGCAAUGGCCGCCGGCGAGGUGCUGCAUGGUUGUCGUCAGCUCGUGCCGUGAGGUGUCGGGUUAAGUCCCAUAACGAGCGCAACCCCUACUGCUAGUUGCCAGCGCGUAAAGGCGGGGACUCUAGCGGAACUGCCGGCGUAAGCCGUGAGGAAGGUGGGGAUGACGUCAAAUCAGCACGGCCCUUACGUCCAGGGCUACACACGUGUUACAAUGGCCGGUACAGAGGGCAGCCACCCGCGAGGGGGCGCGAAUCCUUAAAGCCGGUCCCAGUUCGGAUCGGGGUCUGCAACCCGACCCCGUGAAGCUGGAUUCGCUAGUAAUCGCGCAUCAGCCACGGCGCGGUGAAUACGUUCCCGGGCCUU
rnacentral:rRNA from 1 species